UACGUAGGGUGCAAGCGUUGUCCGGAAUUAUUGGGCGUAAAGAGCUCGUAGGCGGUCUGUUGCGUCGGCUGUGAAAACCCGGGGCUCAACCCCGGGCCUGCAGCCGAUACGGGCAGACUAGAGUUCGGCAGGGGAGACUGGAAUUCCUGGUGUAGCGGUGAAAUGCGCAGAUAUCAGGAGGAACACCCGUAGCGAAGGCGGCACUCUGGGCCGAUACUGACACUGAGGAGCGAAAGCGUGGGGAGCGAACAGG
rnacentral:rRNA from 1 species